rnacentral:tRNA from 1 species
GGUUCCGUAGCUCAGUUGGAUAGAGCAGCCGCCUUCUAAGCGGCCGGUCGAGGGUUCGAAUCCUUCCGGGGCCGCCA